GAUGAACGCUGGCGGCGUGCCUAAUACAUGCAAGUCGAGCGAACGGACGAGAAGCUUGCUUCUCUGAUGUUAGCGGCGGACGGGUGAGUAACACGUGGAUAACCUACCUAUAAGACUGGGAUAACUUCGGGAAACCGGAGCUAAUACCGGAUAAUAUUUUGAACCGCAUGGUUCAAAAGUGAAAGACGGUCUUGCUGUCACUUAUAGAUGGAUCCGCGCUGCAUUAGCUAGUUGGUAAGGUAACGGCUUACCAAGGCAACGAUGCAUAGCCGACCUGAGAGGGUGAUCGGCCACACUGGAACUGAGACACGGUCCAGACUCCUACAGGAGGCUGCAGUAGGGAAUCUUCCGCAAUGGGCGAAAGCCUGACGGAGCAACGCCGCGUGAGUGAUGAAGGUCUUCGGAUCGUAAAACUCUGUUAUUAGGGAAGAACAUAUGUGUAAGUAACUGUGCACAUCUUGACGGUACCUAAUCAGAAAGCCACGGCUAACUACGUG
rnacentral:rRNA from 1 species